CAGAGUAGCCAGGGGCUGGGAAAGGCUGAAGUUACUCCCUGGGAGGAAGGAGUUGGUGAACCCAGAGAGGGGGAAAGUGUUAGAUGGUAAGGGAAGGGCACAGGGAAAGUAAGGUCUAGAAGUGAAUGGGCCUUGGCUGCUGUGUAGAGAGGGUGGGCCUGGUUUUCCUGUGGACAUGACGCCAUGGGGCAGUGAGUGGGAAGCCUGACUAAGACUGAGGAUGUGGCCCCAUGAGGCAGUGCAUGGGAAGGGUGCCAAAGAUUGCUGAGGAAAGACUAAAGGGGAAAACCUGUUUCGUGACCUGGCCAGAGGGCCGAGUCAUGAAGAGGCAGCAGCCCGAGAGGAGCUGGAGACGGAGAGAGGGGCAGAGAGAUGGCGUGUGUGGGAAGGGAUGUUGACAUCGUGAAGCUAAGCCCCAGAAUGGGCAGGAGGCGGCGCCAUCCAAGCGGCAUAUUGUCCACUUCUUGACCAAGUGUUGGGUCCUUGCUUCAUCAUCUCUGAGACAGACUCUGGCAACACAGUGCCUCCUAAUGAGAACCAUGAAAAAUGUCUGUAAUGAAAUCCAAGACCUGGAAAAAUUUCAAGAGCGGGAAGAGCUUCCCAAGCAUUCAGUUCAGCAUUGGCUGUGAGAAUGCAUCAUCAGAAUACCACCGUCAUUAACAAAAACUUGCAGAUACAGGAGAGAUGGAGCGACAUUGCUGAUCUCAAUUUCCAGACUGAGCACUCUUGGCUUGAUGAGUAAACUGGAUUUCUAAUAGCAUUGAUGGUUUCACUCGCAUUCCCUGGAGAAAAGUUAUCGAGCAUCCUCAAACUCUCCUGGUGAUCAGUUAUGAAGAAUGGUAUUUACAAAGAGAUUCUUGAGUAGAAUAGAUGGGCUCCAUGAAGCAGCGUGUACUGACACCCCCACGGAAGCUGGCCCCAUUUUUCUCGUGGAAGGAAAUAAUUGAUCAGCAAUAGCUUCCUCCACUGCAGAAGACUUUAGUGCACUGACAGACAAAUCCCUUCCCCACUCUACUCAUCGAUGUGUGCUCUCUCUCGCAAUGAAGCUUCUCUGAGUAAAGAGCGACUAUAAAAUAACGAGGACUGCUGUCCAUCAAUUCUUAGCGGCAGGUCAGGAGAGAGGUGAGCUUGCAGCAUUCGGAUAAAAUCUUUUGAGAGAGAAAUCAUAAUGGGGGUGAAGUGCAAUAAAUAAAAAAUGAAGACAGGCGACACAAUGGAAAGGGAGCAUGACAAAAAGGGAAUAAAAUCAAUGAGGUGAAUAUGGCUGAGCCACUCAGUAAUAGUGACCAUAAUGUCAUUAAAUUUAUCAUCGGGGGGAGGAUAAUAAAAAACAACCCCUGCAGUAGCAUUUAACUUCAAAAAGGGAAACCACACAAAAAUGAGGAAGCUAGUUAAACAAAAAAUAAAAGGAACAGUCAUGAGUGAAAGGCCUGCAAGCUGCAUGAAAACUUUACAAAAAAGUAAUAGAGGGUGAAACUAAUAUAUAUCAUCUACCCCCAGCAAAAAAAACUCCAAAACAGUAGGACAAAAAAAAAAAAAUUUCCACCAUGGCUAAAAAUCAGUAAAAGUGGCAGAGACAAAAAGACAUCUUUUAAAAAUUGGAAGUCAAACUCUGAGGAAAAUAGAAAGGAACAUAAACUCUGGCAAGUCAAGUGUAAAAGUACAAUUAGGCCAAUAAUCAGGCAUAAAGGAUCCUUAAAUUGCUUGCCCAUCUCCUGACUUCUCCCAUUUGCUUGGUAUAAUGUCCUUCAUGAGAGAGGGUUAGCAGUGCACUCCAGAGUUAAUGUCACAACUCUCAUCUAUUCCAGUCUUUCUGU